rnacentral:rRNA from 1 species
ACGGGUGAGUAAUAUAUCGGAACGUGCCCUAGAGUGGGGGAUAACUAGUCGAAAGACUAGCUAAUACCGCAUACGAUCUACGGAUGAAAGUGGGGGAUCGCAAGACCUCAUGCUCCUGGAGCGGCCGAUAUCUGAUUAGCUAGUUGGUGGGGUAAAAGCCUACCAAGGCAACGAUCAGUAGCUGGUCUGAGAGGACGACCAGCCACACUGGGACUGAGACACGGCCCAGACUCCUACGGGAGGCAGCAGUGGGGAAUUUUGGACAAUGGGGGCAACCCUGAUCCAGCAAUGCCGCGUGAGUGAAGAAGGCCUUCGGGUUGUAAAGCUCUUUUGUCAGGGAAGAAACGGUAGUAGCGAAUAACUAUUACUAAUGACGGUACCUGAAGAAUAAGCACCGGCUAACUACGUGCCAGCAGCCGCGGUAAUACGUAGGGUGCAAGCGUUAAUCGGAAUUACUGGGCGUAAAGCGUGCGCAGGCGGUUGUGUAAGUCAGAUGUGAAAUCCCCGGGCUCAACCUGGGAAUUGCAUUUGAGACUGCACGGCUAGAGUGUGUCAGAGGGGGGUAGAAUUCCACGUGUAGCAGUG